AACGAACACUGGCGGCAUGCCUAACACAUGCAAGUCGAACGAGAUCUUCGGGUCUAGUGGCGCACGGGUGCGUAACGCGUGGGAAUCUGCCCUUUGGUUCGGAAUAACAGUUGGAAACGACUGCUAAUACCGGAUGAUGACGAAAGUCCAAAGAUUUAUCGCCAGAGGAUGAGCCCGCGUAGGAUUAGCUAGUUGGUGUGGUAAAGGCGCACCAAGGCGACGAUCCUUAGCUGGUCUGAGAGGAUGAUCAGCCGCACUGGGACUGAGACACGGCGCAGACUCCUACGGGAGGCAGCAGUGGGGAAUAUUGGACAAUGGGCGAAAGCCUGGUCCAGCAAUGCCGCGUGAGUGAUGAAGGCCUUAGGGUUGUAAAGCUCUUUUACCCGGGAUGAUAAUGACAGUACCGGGAGAAUAAGCUCCGGCUAACUCCGUGCCAGCAGCCGCAGUAA
rnacentral:rRNA from 1 species